GGAAUUGAUGGUGGUGGUAAAUAUUCAUGAAAAAUGACAAGUUUGUGAACGGCAACACAGAUUUAGAUAAUGAACAACUAAACAAGUUACACACUGGGACUUUAAUACUUGCUAAGAAUA